UGCUUAACACAUGCAAGUCGAACGGAAAGGCCCUGCUUUUGUGGGGUGCUCGAGUGGCGAACGGGUGAGUAACACGUGAGUAACCUGCCCUUGACUUUGGGAUAACUUCAGGAAACUGGGGCUAAUACCGGAUAGGAGCUCCUGCUGCAUGGUGGGGGUUGGAAAGUUUCGGCGGUUGGGGAUGGACUCGCGGCUUAUCAGCUUGUUGGUGGGGUAGUGGCUUACCAAGGCUUUGACGGGUAGCCGGCCUGAGAGGGUGACCGGCCACAUUGGGACUGAGAUACGGCCCAGACUCCUACGGGAGGCAGCAGUGGGGAAUAUUGCACAAUGGGCGGAAGCCUGAUGCAGCAACGCCGCGUGCGGGAUGACGGCCUUCGGGUUGUAAACCGCUUUCGCCUGUGACGAAGCGUGAGUGACGGUAAUGGGUAAAGAAGCACCGGCUAACUACGUGCCAGCAGCCGCGGUGAUACGUAGGGUGCGAGCGUUGUCCGGAUUUAUUGGGCGUAAAGGGCUCGUAGGUGGUUGAUCGCGUCGGAAGUGUAAUCUUGGGGCUUAACCCUGAGCGUGCUUUCGAUACGGGUUGACUUGAGGAAGGUAGGGGAGAAUGGAAUUCCUGGUGGAGCGGUGGAAUGCGCAGAUAUCAGGAGGAACACCAGUGGCGAAGGCGGUUCUCUGGGCCUUUCCUGACGCUGAGGAGCGAAAGCGUGGGGAGCGAACAGGCUUAGAUACCCUGGUAGUCCACGCUGUAAACGGUGGGUACUAGGUGUGGGGUCCAUUCCACGGGUUCCGUGCCGUAGCUAACGCUUUAAGUACCCCGCCUGGGGAGUACGGCCGCAAGGCUAAAACUCAAAGGAAUUGACGGGGCCCCGCACAAGCGGCGGAGCAUGCGGAUUAAUUCGAUGCAACGCGUAGAACCUUACCUGGGUUUGACAUGGAUCGGGAGUGCUCAGAGAUGGGUGUGCCUCUUUUGGGGUCGGUUCACAGGUGGUGCAUGGCUGUCGUCAGCUCGUGUCGUGAGAUGUUGGGUUAAGUCCCGCAACGAGCGCAACCCUUGUUCACUGUUGCCAGCACGUUAUGGUGGGGACUCAGUGGAGACCGCCGGGGUCAACUCGGAGGAAGGUGGGGAUGACAUCAAGUCAUCAUGCCCCUUAUGUCCAGGGCUUCACGCAUGCUACAAUGGCUGGUACAGAGAGUGGCGAGCCUGUGAGGGUGAGCGAAUCUCGGAAAGCCGGUCUCAGUUCGGAUUGGGGUCUGCAACUCGACCUCAUGAAGUCGGAGUCGCUAGUAAUCGCAGAUCAGCAACGCUGCGGUGAAUACGUUCCCGGGGCUUGUACACACCGCCCGUCAAGUCAUGAAAGUUGGUAACACCCGAAGCCGGUGGCCUAACCGUUGUGGGGGAGCCGUCGAAGGUGGGACUGGUGAUUAGGACUAA
rnacentral:rRNA from 1 species